GAGUGUUCAAAGCAGGCAGAUUUAACCAUUCUGCCACCGAAUACAUUAGCAUGGGAUAAUGAAAUAGGACCCUGUCCUCCUAUUUACGUGUUGGUUUUUGAGGACCAGGGUAAUGAUUAAUAGGGAUAGUUGGGGGCAUUAAUAUUUAAUUGUCAGAGGUGAAAUUCUUGGAUUUAUGAAAGAUUAACUUCUGCGAAAGCAUCUGCCAAGGAUGUUUUCAUUAAUCAAGAACGAAAGUUAGGGGAUCGAAGACGAUCAGAUACCGUCGUAGUCUUAACCAUAAACGAUGCCGACCAGCGAUUAGGAGACGUUGAAUACAAAACACCAUCCUUUUAGCAYGGUCGUUUUCAAAUAUUCCUUUUUGCGAAGGUUGUUUGGGAACGAUUCGUCCUGAUGGAUCUGGUGAAUGACUCCCCUAGCAGCUUGAGAGAA
rnacentral:rRNA from 1 species